rnacentral:rRNA from 1 species
GACGAACGCUGGCGGCGUGCUUAACACAUGCAAGUCGAACGGUGAAGGUGGGAGCUUGCUCCUGCUGGAUCAGUGGCGAACGGGUGAGUAACACGUGAGUAACCUGCCCUUGACUCUGGGAUAAGCGUUGGAAACGACGUCUAAUACCGGAUACGAGCUUCAGCCGCAUGGCUAGGAGUUGGAAAGAUUUUUCGGCCAAGGAUGGACCCGCGGCCUAUCAGCGUGUUGGUGAGGUAAGGGCUCACCAAGGCGACGACGGGUAGCCGGCCUGAGAGGGUGACCGGCCACACUGGGACUGAGACACGGCCCAGACUCCUACGGGAGGCAGCAGUGGGGAAUAUUGCACAAUGGGCGCAAGCCUGAUGCAGCAACGCCGCGUGAGGGACGACGGCCUUCGGGUUGUAAACCUCUUUUAGCAGGGAAGAAGCGCAAGUGACGGUACCUGCAGAAAAAGCACCGGCUAACUACGUGCCAGCCGCCGCAGUAA